CUCCAUCUGACUGCAAAGGAGGCUGGGAAAUGUCAACCUAGGCAGCCAUGUUCCUGGCCACCAUUCUAUUACUUUGAAAGAAGAAAAUGGACUUAGGACGAAGGAUGUGGCUCAGACAUCUAGGAGAUCUGAAGUGGUACCAUCCAAGCCCUAGGGAAAUAAGAUGCAGCACCAAGGUACCAAGGAAAAGGGUAGAAGCACUCCGAGUUGACCUGAGAUGAACUUUUCACCACUCUUGAAGAAUGAGGACUUGAACUAGUGAUCACUUUCAGUUCUAGAAAAAUAAGGUGGCCGGGUGAGGUGGCUCAUGCCUGUACUCCCAGUGCUUUGGGAGGCCGAGGUGGGCGGAUCACGAGAUCAGGAGUUUGAGACUAGCCCGGCCAACAUGGUGAAACCUCGUCUCUACUAAAAAUACAAAAAAUUAGCUGGGCAAGGUGGUGGGCACCUGUAAUCCCAGCUGCUCAGGAGGCUGAGGCAGGAGAAUUGCUUGAACCCGGGAGGCAGAGGUUGCAGUGAGCCGAGAUCACGCCAUUGCACUCCAGCCUGGGCGACAGUGCGAGGCUCUCAAAACAAACAAACAAAAAAAAAUGCACAAAAAACAAAAAUAAGAUUACAUCUCUUAAGUCUCUAAAUUGGGAACUGAAAUUCACACCUGCAACAUCUUUAAUGAUCCAAUGGAAAGAAGUCCAAACUCCUUGACCAGGGUUUGACAAAUUAUGGCCCACGGGCCAAAUUUGGUUGGCUGCCUGUUUUUGUUAUUAAAGAGUUUUUGGAAUACUGCCAUGCCCAUUUGCGUAUGUAUUGCCUCUGGCUAUUUUUGUACUGCAGCAUCAGGGUUGAGUUAUUGUGACAGAGACACUAGAGCCUGCAAAACCAAAAAGAUUUAUUAUCUGAUCCACUUUAGAAGAAAUUUGCCAACCUUUGUCCUAGAUCAAGUUUUCAAGACCGUCCACAAUUUAAGACCAUUUUUUUUUUUUUUGAGACGAAGUGUUGCUCUUGUCGCCCAGGCUGAAGUACAAUGGCACGAUCUCGGCUCACUGCAACCUCCGCCUCCUGGGUUCAAGCAAUUCUCCUGCCUCAGCCUCCUGCAUAGCUGGGAUUGCAGGUACACACCACCAUAUCCGACUAAUUUUUAUAUUUUUAGUAGAAACGGGGUUUCACCAUGUUGGCCAGGCUGGUCUCGAACUCCUGACCUCGUAAUCCACCUGCCUCAGCCUCCCAAAGUGCCGGGCAUGAGCCACCACGCCCGGCCUAAGACCAGUUUUUAAAACAUAUACUCUGCCACUCUACCACAUAAACUUUCCAAGGUACUAAAACCA
rnacentral:lncRNA from 1 species